UACAGAGGGUGCAAGCGUUAAUCGGAAUUACUGGGCGUAAAGCGCGCGUAGGUGGUUCGUUAAGUUGGAUGUGAAAUCCCCGGGCUCAACCUGGGAACUGCAUCCAAGACUGGCGAGCUAGAGUAUGGUAGAGGGUGGUGGAAUUUCCUGUGUAGCGGUGAAAUGCGUAGAUAUAGGAAGGAACACCAGUGGCGAAGGCGACCACCUGGACUGAUACUGACACUGAGGUGCGAAAGCGUGGGGAGCAAACAGG
rnacentral:rRNA from 1 species